GACUAGCAUUAGCCUUCUUCAGUAGAAGCUUUUGUCUUAAUUUUGAGUACUUUGUAUAAAAUGAUCAGGCGGUGAUCAAGAACGAUAAUUUUCCAGCUCGCCAUGUUAUGAAUGAUCAUGUCUGUAAUUUCAAUCUGCUCAUUGUCAAGUAAGUUUUUACAA